UCGUGCCCCCCCCCCCUCGCGGAGCGCAUUUAAAGCGGCGGCGGCGGCGGAGCUGCACCGCACACCAUGGGGGGGUCCGCGGCCGCGCUGUGCCUCGCGGCGUUGCUGGUCCUGGUGGACGGACGGCCGCUGACUCAGCACAAACCCCACGCACAUGGAGAUGGGCACCCGCAUGGGGCUGAGACCCCCGGCAACGACACCGCCCUGGCCCAGAUCUGCGGGGAUGAGGGCGGCUUCGACGCUGCAACGCUGAGCGAGAAUGGCACCAUGCUCUUCUUCAGAGGAGGGGACGUGUGGGAAAUCUCGUGGAAGAGACCCCAGCCCCACAGCCGCCCCCUGGCUGAGUCCUGGCCUGAGCUGGAGGGCCCCGUGGACGCAGCGCUGCGCAUCCACCGCCAGGAUCACCCCGAGGAGCACCAGAGCCUCUACCUCUUCCAGGCACAGAUGGGCAAGGGGGUCCUGAGCUGGGGGUGCUGGUGCUGGGAUUUUCAGGCUGGGAAUCUCAGAUUGAAGGUCCUGGGCUGGGGGUCUGAGCUGGGGGGUCCCAAGCUGGUGGUUCUGGGCUGGGAAGUCCCAGGCUGGGCAUC
rnacentral:lncRNA from 1 species